rnacentral:rRNA from 1 species
AUUAUGGCUCAGGAUGAACGCUGGCGGCGUGCCUAACACAUGCAAGUCGAACGAAGCACUUCUGAUUGGAGAUUCGUCGAAGAUUGGAUUUGACUUAGUGGCGGACGGGUGAGUAAUGUAUGAGCAACCUGCCUUUCAGAGGGGGACAACAGUUGGAAACGACUGCUAAUACCGCAUAAUGUAUUGAGACGGCAUCGUCAUGAUACCAAAGGAGCAAUCCGCUGAAAGAUGGGCUCAUAUCUGAUUAGUUAGUUGGCAGGGUAACGGCCUACCAAGACUGCGAUCAGUAGCCGGACUGAGAGGUUGAACGGCCACAUUGGGACUGAGAUACGGCCCAGACUCCUACGGGAGGCAGCAGUGGGGAAUAUUGGGCAAUGGGCGAAAGCCCUGACCCAGCAACGCCGCGUGAAGGAAGAAGGUCUUCGGAUUGUAAACUUCUUUUAUGAGGGACGAAGGACGUGACGGUACCUCAUGAAUAAGCCACGGCUAACUACGUGCCAGCCGCGGC